rnacentral:rRNA from 1 species
UACGUAGGGGGCAAGCGUUGUUCGGAAUUACUGGGCGUAAAGGGCUCGUAGGUGGCCAACUAAGUCAGACGUGAAAUCCCUCGGCUUAACCGGGGAACUGCGUCUGAUACUGGAUGGCUUGAGUUUGGGAGAGGGACGCGGAAUUCCUGGUGUAGCGGUGAAAUGCGCAGAUAUCAGGAGGAACACCGAUGGCGAAGGCAGGUCUCUGGGCCACUACUGACGCUGAGAGCGAAAGCAUGGGGAGCGAAACAGG